rnacentral:rRNA from 1 species
GACGAACGUUGGCGGCGUGCUUAAUACAUGCAAGUCAACUGAAGCAGUGGUAGCAAUCUCGCUGUGGAUGUGGCGCACGGGGGAGUAACACGUAGGUAAUCUGCCUUCAGGUCUGGCAUAACUCCGAUAAACCGGGGCUAAUAGCAGCUGAUGCAGCAUCGCGACAUCGUGACAGUUGGUAAAGCUAUGGCGUCGGAAGAGGAGCCUGCUUCUGAUUAGCUAGUUGGCGGGUGAACGGCCCACCAAGGCAACGAUCAUUAGCUGGUCUGAGAGGAUGAUCAGCCAGACUGGAACUGAGACCCGGCCGAGACUCCGACGCGACGCAGCAGUAAGGAAUAUUGAUCAAUGGGAGAAAUCGUAAAGCAGCCACGACGCGGGAGGGACGAAGGGCUUUUGCUUGUAAACCUCUGUAGUGAGAGAAAAAAAUCCAAAUCUUAGGAACAUGAUGGUAUCUCAAAAGUAAGCCCCGGCUAACUACGUG